UUCAAAAUGGCGACCAGUAGGUGUUUACAUUUUUCAAAACAAAAACAAAAAGCUACUCUAUACCACACUCUGUCUCAGGAAAUACUCUAUAUAUGAGACGGGAAAAUUAACCUCAAAAACUCUCGGAACAAAAAAACGGGCAGCCGGUCGUCAAACAUGGUCGUUUUUGAGGAUGAUUUUCCGUAAACUAAAAAGUGUUGGUGAAACCAGAGGACUGAACUGUAGAGAAUAUUGAUGGAUAGCGUUAAAAUUAUAAAAAAAAUAGAUAAAGAUAUUAAUGUUUAUAAUGUUCAUAGUAAUUGAUAUAAGAAUAACAAAAAUUUGAAUAAGGAUUUCAGUUGAUAAAAAAAUUGAGUGUUUCGUUAUUGAUGGUUUAUCUCCUAAUAACCGUUUGAGCAGUUCUCCCUGGGAGAGAGGAACGCUUUAGAAUUGAAAUUUGACACAGAGUUGGAGAGCGAAAAAGAGAGCAAGUGAAUGUGAAUGAGAGAACCCGCAUAGCAAAAAACUCUACCUCAAAAAAUCAAAAUGAUAAUCGAACCCCUACAGAAACUGUGAUUGUUUAUGGAAACAUAGCUAUUAAGUGAAACUAUUCAAAAAAAAUAAAUAAAUUUUGAAUUAAACUAUUCAAACCAAACCUUCACGUUUGAAUGAAAAGUUACGAUAUUGGUUAGGCUUAACUUACUGUUUGGACUGUUAACGAAAGCUUUUUGUUAACCGUAAAAAUAAUGCCGAACGAUUACAUCUAACGUUCAUAUAAAUUUGACACUUUUCGAUUUUCGGGAUGAGAGUUGUCAUGUUUCGAGAAGAAGAAAAAAAGAAUAAGAAAUUGUAAAAAAAGAUUUGCUGGCGAAUUCGCACCAGCAGCAAUUUUGGAGGAAAUUUCGGUACCGUAGCUGCAUCAACGUACCGGAAAGCCGGCGCACCGGGAGCCGAAAUCAGUGCAGUUAGGUGUAGCAGUUAGGCUAAUAAUUUCAGUUUUUCAGUGUCGUCGAUGCUGCUCUCUUAUGCAGCUCAAGUCCGCCGCCGGGGGGAUUUCCCUCGCUGGUGGCGCUAUUGCAUUGCGCCCAGCAUCCAGGUCAGAGGAUUAAUAAAAAAUCAAAACCCUGUAUGCAAGUAAGUUGGAAUAUAAAAAUUAAACGUAAA